CUUGUUAGAAUUUACUAAUGAAAGUCAAAUGUGAAACAUGAAUUUGAUAUGAUCGUUAAUAUGUACAAUCAUGUAUGCUAACAAGAAUGUGAAUGCGAUGACAUGAAAGUAUAGGGAUCAUGUCAAGAUGGAUGAAAGCAUGGAAGGCUAAGGGGUCAAAAGGAGGCGAGGAAACGGAUGCGAAUACGGACACUUAAGGUUAGUCAGAUAUUCAUGAUGGACAAGUGAACGAGAAUCAAGUUGAAGAUCAUGGAUUGUACGGGAAAGCGGUCACGUUUGUAAUCAUUUGUUAACAUAGUUACAAUAAAUAAAUGAUGAAUGAUGUAUUUAUGUUAGAAGGGUUGACCUAAACGGUAUUUAAGUAUGUUAGAAUAGUUAAAAGAAAGAAAUUUUACGGUUCAUUUUCCGCUGCG